rfam:Callithrix jacchus chromosome 9, whole genome shotgun sequence
GUCUAUGGCCAUACCACCCUGAACCCAACCAAUCUCGUCUGAUCUCGGAAGCUAAGCAAGAUCAGGCCUAGUUAGUACUUGGAUGGGAGAAAUGCCAAACAAAACCACAAGGAGAUAUAGUCU